UCCUAGCGGCUCUCUCUCUCUCUCUCUCUCUCCCCUCUUUUUUAAGCAGCCGCCUUUCCCCGGCGGCCGGCGGCCGGCGACGCCAUGCUCCACCUCCGGCAGUGCCUCCUCCCGCUGCUCCGCGCCGCCGCCGCCGCCCAUCCCCACACCUCCGCCGCAUCCUCCUCCUCUCUCCACCUCAGCCGCCGCCUCUUCUCCACCGCCGCCGGGCCCGACACCGCGCCCCCCUUCUCCGUCGAGGAGUACCUCGUCGCCACCUGCGGCCUCACGGGCGCCCAGGCGCUCAAAGCGUCCAAGAAGCUCUCCCACCUCAGGUCGCCCGCCAAGCCCGACGCCGUGCUCGCCGUCCUCUCCGGCGUCGGCCUCUCCCGCGCCGACCUCGCCGCCGUGGUCGCCGCCGACCCGAUGCUGCUCUGCGCCAGGGCGCGCAACGUCGCCCGCCGGCUGCAUUCGCUCCGCGACCGCGUCGGUCUGUCCGAUGCCGACGUCGCCCGUUUCCUCCUCGCCGGCGGCGCAAUGGGCCUCCGCAAAUGCGACAUCGCCCCGAGGCUCGAGUUCUGGAUCGGCUUCGUCGGAUCGUUCGACAAGCUCCUACCGGCACUGAAGGGGAACAACGGAAUCCUCAUGAGUGACCUGGACAAGGUCGUGAAGCCGAACAUCGCGCUGCUCCAGGAGUGCGGGCUAAGUGUUUGUGAAAUUGCCAAGCUGUCUACGCUCAAGUGGACGGUGCUGUCGUUGAGUCCAGAGCGAGUCAAGGCGUCGGUGCUGUGCGUCGAGAAGUUGGUCGUGCCCCGCUCCUCGGAUCGGUUCAAGCACGUGCUCAAGUCCGCCUGUUGGAUCUCCGAAGAUAUGCUCGCCAUGAAAAUGGAGUUCUUGAGGAGCACUCUUGGUUGCUCCGAGGACAAGCUCCGUGCCGCGGUCUGCAUUUCGCCACAUAUUUUCUACCUGUCCGACAAGAACCUUUGCCGAAAGAUAGACUUCCUGAUCUCCGAGGUUGGCUUGGAGCGUGAGUUCAUUGUGGAAAGGCCUUGGGUGCUCGGCUACAGCCUCGAGAAGCGUAUGGUGCCACGGCAUUCUGUCAUGAAGAUCCUGAGGACCAUGGGAUUGAUGAAGGAUGCUGUUGACUUCAGCAGUUCACUUGUUUACUCUGAGAAAAAAUUCGUUGCAAGAUACAUUGAUCCUUACAAGCAAGCAGCUCCCACGCUCGCAGAUUCCUACGCUGCUGCUUGUGCCGGGAAAAUGCCUGCUCAUGUUCACCGUUGAAUGUAGAUUUUCCCAGGUUCGUCCUUUAUCUGAUGCUAAUUGCUAGCAUUGUGCCUUAUGUUGUUAUGCUCAUCACUAAAUGUUUAUUCAUGGCAAAUUAAAUAUUGGCUUUUAUCCGUAGAACUAAUGGUCAUCCGGAGUACUCAUAAUGUGAUCUUCUCUUUAUGUUUCAAUCUUGGAUAUCUGUAUCUCAUGUUAUGUUGCUUUCUUUUACUUGAGAAGCAGCGAUUGAGCAGUAUCAUUAAUAUAUGUAACUCUUCUAGCAUUUUCUGCUUCCUAAGGAUGUGCCCUGUUUUUAAUCAGAUAUUGGCUUUCCUUAUUGUGAUUAUCUGCACGGUUGUGGGCUUUUGGCAUGGGUAAUUUAUAUAGGGAUGGGACAUUCCAUCAGACUAUCAUGUAGAGCUGGUAUUUACCGAAUCAUCAUAUAAAGCUGGUAGCUAAACAUAAAUUAAAUAUUUAUGCUUGAUGACAAACUGAUGUAGUGCUGUACAGAUUUUGAAAGGCUAGGAGCUAAGAAUGACUAAUGUUGCUAACUUGCUAUCAACAACAACGUGGGAAUCCUUUAACCUGUUGAGUCUUGUAAUAUCAUUCCUCAAAAUAUUCCUUCUGUUACAAUUUUGUCCUAAUUACUACAGGUGGGGGAUUAUUUUCGUGUUUAUUUUCCUCCAAAGACCCAAUUUGAAAAUUCAGUUAUUAGUUGAUGGCCCCUUCUGUUGGUGGCAAUGUGGAAAUAACACUUCCAAUAUUAUAUUUGAAAAACCCAUUCUUGGUGGCAAUGUGGAAAUAACACUUCCAGUAUUAUAUUUGUUCCAUUAUCUACUUUUCUUCUGUUGAACUGUUAAUUGCUUAAACUCUCUUUUACAUUAUUUCUCUAAUCCAAUGUGGUCUUAAUAGUUUCCAUUGUUCAUCUCUAAUCUUUUUGGAAACAUGAAAAGAAUCGAUCAAACUAAAUAUAUAGUAAUGGUCAGUUAAGUGAAUAUAAACAUGUGGCAAGCUGUUUGAACGAGGUAACUCAUUCAUCCAUUUCAAGAUGCUUUCAAGGAACCUCAAGAUACUUGGCUGACAUUAUAACUUUUCAUCGACAUUGUUUGUACCUUCUUUUUGUGCGUGUAUUUUGUUGUGAGAUGAUUUUUUUUGAAUUGUUCAUAACCAUUUAGAUAACAUACAGGAAACGAGUGCAUGUGCACUUAAGUUAUAAAUUGACUUCCCCCUUGGUUUUUUUUUCUAUACAUGUAGCAUUAUACAUCUUGUUUCUUCAGGUUGCUGCUAAUAUCUUGUGCUGUUUUUUGAGGCGGGCUACAGAGGAGGCAAGCUUGUAGAAACCUUCCAAGAUGACCAAGCAUGUAACAUUUGAUCGUUUUGCUACCUAGGAUGCAUGUUUGAUGAUAAAUAUGAUAGCAAGUUCCUUGAUCAAGAAAAGAAAAACAACAAGAAGAAAGCAAGUUGGGGGGCCAUGCAUCAACUGUUGUGGUGAAAUGAUGUUCCUGUAUUUUUCUCCCCAUUAUCUGAUAAGUAAAGAGUAUAAUAAAAAAAAAUUGUGAUGGAAGAUUUGACAA